rnacentral:rRNA from 1 species
AUUGAACGCUGGCGGCAGGCCUAACACAUGCAAGUCGAGCGGAUGAAGGGAGCUUGCUCCUGGAUUCAGCGGCGGACGGGUGAGUAAUGCCUAGGAAUCUGCCUGGUAGUGGGGGAUAACGUCCGGAAACGGGCGCUAAUACCGCAUACGUCCUGAGGGAGAAAGUGGGGGAUCUUCGGACCUCACGCUAUCAGAUGAGCCUAGGUCGGAUUAGCUAGUUGGUGGGGUAAAGGCCUACCAAGGCGACGAUCCGUAACUGGUCUGAGAGGAUGAUCAGUCACACUGGAACUGAGACACGGUCCAGACUCCUACGGGAGGCACCAGUGGGGAAUAUUGGACAAUGGGCGAAAGCCUGAUCCAGCCAUGCCGCGUGUGUGAAGAAGGUCUUCGGAUUGUAAAGCACUUUAAGUUGGGAGGAAGGGCAGUAAGUUAAUACCUUGCUGUUUUGACGUUACCAACAGAAUAAGCACGGGCUAACUUCGUG